rnacentral:rRNA from 1 species
CAAAACGACUCUCGGCAACGGAUAUCUCGGCUCUCGCAUCGAUAAAGAACGUAGCGAAAUGCGAUACUUGGUGUGAAUUGCAGAAUCCCGUGAACCAUCAAGUCUUUGAACGCAAGUUGCGCCCCAAGCCAUUAGGCCGAGGGCACGUCUGCCUGGGUGUCACG